rnacentral:rRNA from 1 species
UACGUAGGUGGCAAGCGUUGUCCGGAUUUACUGGGCGUAAAGAGCGCGCAGGCGGUCGUUCAAGUCGAGUGUGAAAGCCCCCGGCUCAACUGGGGAGGGUCACUCGAUACUGAUCGACUCGAAGGCAGGAGAGGGUAGUGGAAUUCCCGGUGUAGUGGUGAAAUGCGUAGAUAUCGGGAGGAACACCAGUGCCGAAGGCGACUACCUGGCCUGUUCUUGACGCUGAGGCGCGAAAGCUAGGGGAGCAAACGGG